GUGCAUAUUGCACAGGGAGCUGGUAAAAGGCAGAUUCUGGUGCAGUCAGUCUGGGAAAGAACUCAGGAUUCUGCAUCUCUGAUGAGCUCCCAGGUGAUAUUGAU
rnacentral:pre_miRNA from 1 species